rnacentral:rRNA from 1 species
AGAUUGAACGCUGGCGGAAUGCUUUACACAUGCAAGUCGAACGGCAGCACGGGGGCAACCCUGGUGGCGAGUGGCGAACGGGUGAGUAAUACAUCGGAACGUGCCCAGUCGUGGGGGAUAACUACGCGAAAGCGUAGCUAAUACCGCAUACGAUCUACGGAUGAAAGCGGGGGAUCGCAAGACCUCGCGCGAUUGGAGCGGCCGAUGGCAGAUUAGGUAGUUGGUGGGGUAAAGGCUCACCAAGCCGUCGAUCUGUAGCUGGUCUGAGAGGACGACCAGCCACACUGGGACUGAGACACGGCCAGACUCCGUACGGGAGCAGCGAGGUGGGUAAUUUGGACUAAGUGGGACGAAAGCCUAGACUCCGAGCC